rnacentral:rRNA from 1 species
CCUACGGGAGGCAGCAGUGGGGAAUAUUGGACAAUGGGGGGAACCCUGAUCCAGCGACGCCGCGUGAGUGAAGAAGUAUUUCGGUAUGUAAAGCUCUAUCAGCAGGGAAGAAAGAAAUGACGGUACCUGACUAAGAAGCCCCGGCUAACUACGUGCCAGCAGCCGCGGUAAUACGUAGGGGGCAAGCGUUAUCCGGAUUUACUGGGUGUAAAGGGAGCGUAGACGGCGAUGCAAGUCUGAAGUGAAAGGCGGGGGCCCAACCCCCGGACUGCUUUGGAAACUGUAUGGCUGGAGUGCAGGAGAGGUAAGUGGAAUGCCUAGUGUUGCGGUUAAAUGCAUAGAUAUUAGGAGGAACCCCAGUGGCGAAGGCGGCUUACUGGACUGUAACUGACGUUGAGGCUCGAAAGCGUGGGGAGCAAACAGGAUUAGAUACCCGAGUAGUC